CUUUCGCCAUCCUUGAGUGGUCCGUUCUGGCAUUAGGUUGUCGGAGCGUCAGCCGCUCAUCGUUUACUGUGAGAAAAUUAGAGUGUUCAAAGCAGGCUUAUGCCGUUGAAUAUAUUAGCAUGGAAUAAUAAGAUAGGACCUCGGUACUAUUUUGUUGGUUUGCGCACCAAGGUAAUGAUGAACAGGGACAGUUGGGGGUAUUUGUAUUUCGUUGUCAGAGGUGAAAUUCUUAGAUUUACGAAAGACAAACUACUGCGAAAGCAUUUACCAAGGAUGUUUUCAUUGAUCAAGAACGAAAGUAUGGGGAUCGAAGAUGAUUA
rnacentral:rRNA from 1 species